CAGGUGGCAGGCUGUGUAUUCAAAUUGGAAUCCUAUGACAGCAGCAGGAGCCCAAUUUGUCAAACUGGACAGAAACUUGGAGGAUGAGCAUACCAGGAGUAGUUCCAUCAAGAUUCUUUUGGCAGAACCAGUAAAUGUAACAGCCAGUAGAGCUGGGCAAAGUUUCCUGGAAUUGGCUGGGAGGCUGAGAAGCAAAUAGAAGAUCCAAGCUGCUUCCCAAAAAUAGGAGGUGAUCAAGAGACAGUGUUCGAAAAUCUGGAGGAGAAAGGAUGAGGCUUCAGACCAUUACAAAGAAUAUUGAGGUGUUGUAGAACAACA